UAAUAUUUCAGAUCGUGAUAAAAUCAAGUGUGACCAACUUCUAUUACGGUAUAUACCGAAUAUUCGGCAUUUUGAAGGAUUUUCAUAUCUAACAUGCUCAACCUGGAGGACUACAUGGAGAUGAUCGAGCACUUGUCCCAAGAGCUGCUCGAGCUCAAUCUUGCAGUACGUGCACUGGACAAAAAGGCGCACCUCUUCUUCUAGUAGUGUAAGCGAGUUGAGCUGCAGCACGAGACCAUGGACACUGAAUUCCCCAGCCUGGACGGUGAGUACUUCAAGGUGGUUGAGUACGCCGACGAGAAAGUGGCCAUCGCGACGCAAAUCCAUGAGCUGGUCGAGCGCUGUUUGCGGCGCCUGACAGUGAGCUAUUCAAGUUUAACUGCGAACUGGCCACCACUUCCCUGACAGAAGCUGCCGAUUCGGUGGUGAGCCAGCCCACAGACAAUCACAGAAACAGGGACAAUCUGUGCUGAACACGCCGCCGCCAGCGGCAAUGCCACGGUCACCUACAACCUGCAGCAGCUUAGUGGAGGAGCCUCCGAUUUCAAUCCCACGAAAGACCAGUCUGAAGGCCAGCUGUGAAGCGGCUGGUACCACGGCCGAUUUCUGGUUCCGCCUGCAACCAGAGUAGUCUACAGCAGUCACCAGCUGUGCAGCCGGAGUCACAAGCAGCUCGCAUCACUCUCACCAAUCCCAAACGCACCACACCAGCCACGGCUGGUGACAUAGCUACGGCCACGAGCAUGGACACCACGACAGCAGCCACAGCGGGCACAGCAGUCACCACCAGGAGAAUCAGAAGAAGCUUAACACGGCCCUUCCGCUGCCCACGUCUCUGGCUGUAGGUGGGCACCUUCACGUUCGGCGGCAACUUCAUUGUCUCGUCAACCUUAUCCAUGAGUGUGAAUUCGGUGAACAUGCUCUUUACGGCGACGGCUGCGGCUGCGGCCUCGACGAAUCUCUCGGCCGGUAGCCUGACCCACGGCUCGCUCUCUAUGACGUCGGCAGGAACCGUUGGUUUGACGCGCAAGCCCGCCAACGUGGCUGGAGGCGUACAGCAGCCAGCCAAUCGAUAGUGGCCACCAAACAGAUGCGGCAUGAAUGCAGGACGACCAGUUUGAAGGUCAGCUAUGAAGCUAUCCAUGAAUCGGCUGGUACCACGGCCGAAUUCUGGUACCUCUCCAUGACGGUAGCAGGAGCCGUUGGUUUCGCGGGCUACAAUUCCCAAUCCCCAGAACGGGCAACGUGUAUUUGCCAGGCAAUAAGUGAAUUAAACGAUAAAGUCGAACAAUUAAA